GUAGGUGGCAAGCGUUGUCCGGAAUUAUUGGGCGUAAAGCGCGCGCAGGCGGUUCUUUAAGUCUGAUGUGAAAGCCCACGGCUCAACCGUGGAGGGUCAUUGGAAACUGGAGAACUUGAGUACAGAAGAGGAAAGCGGAAUUCCACGUGUAGCUGUGAAAUGCGUAGAGAUGUGGAGGAACACCAGUGGCGAAGGCGGCUUUCUGGUCUGUAACUGACGCUGAGGCGCGAAAGCGUGGGGGAGCAAACAGGAUUAGAUACCCUGGUAGUCCACGCCGUAAACGAUGAGUGCUAAGUGUUAGGGGGUUUCCGCCCCUUAGUGCUGCAGCUAACGCAUUAAGCACUCCGCCUGGGAGUACGGCCGCAAGGCUG
rnacentral:rRNA from 1 species